rnacentral:rRNA from 1 species
AGUGAACGCGGGCGGUAGGCCUAACACAUGCAAGUCGAACGGCAGCACAGGAGAGCUUGCUCUCUGGGUGGCGAGUGGCGGACGGGUGAGGAAUACAUCGGAAUCUACUUUUUCGUGGGGGAUAACGUAGGGAAACUUACGCUAAUACCGCAUACGACCUACGGGUGAAAGCAGGGGAUCUUCGGACCUUGCGCGAUUGAAUGAGCCGAUGUCGGAUUAGCUAGUUGGCGGGGUAAAGGCCCACCGAGGCGACGAUCCGUAGCUGGUCUGAGAGGAUGAUCAGCCACACUGGAACUGAGACACGGUCCAGACUCCUACGGGAGGCAGCAGUGGGGAAUAUUGGACAGUGGGCGCAAGCCUGAUCCAGCCAUACCGCGUGGGUGAAGAAGGCCUUCGGGUUGUAAAGCCCUUUUGUUGGGAAAGAAAUCCAGCUGGUUAAUACCCGGUUGGGAUGACGGUACCCAAAGAAUAAGCACCGGCUAACUUCGUGCCAGCCGCCGCAGUAA